AACAAUCCUUGGGGAAUUUAAUUUCUAUUUGCCUUUGCAUCUUUGUAUUUUUUCCACACUAAUACAGGCCCCUUGAAUUCUUGUCCUGUUUGUUUUCAAUUCCUGCUGAGACAAUUUUGAAUAGUUUCUGAGAUCCUAUUAGAUUUUCAUUUUGGAUACAUCAUAGUUUUUAUUCGUGUUCUGCUUAGUGUUGUCAGUCAUCCUGAAGAUAUACCAGUUAAAAAGGCAGAUAUAACAUUCAUCAAGAGAUUAGCCCUGAGCUAACAUCUGCCGCCAACACUACUUUUUUGCUGAGGAAGACUGGCCCUGAGCUAACAUCCAUGCCCAUCUUCCUCUACUUUAUAUGUGAGACACCUGCCACAGCAUGGCUCCACAAGCAGUGCAGGUCUGCACCAGGGAUCUCAACCAGUGAACUCCGGGCCACCAAAGUGGAAUGUGCGAACUUAACCACUGUGCCACUGUGCUGGCCCUUCUUUAACAUUUCAUGUCUUUCUUUUUUCAAAAUGUUAUCUGGGGGAAGUAAUUAAAUAAUUAUUAAGUAAUCAUUAACUUUUGGUGCAUUAUAUAAUAAUGGCUCUUAUCUUGUAGCUAUGUUUUGACCUAAUUUAAU
rnacentral:lncRNA from 1 species